rnacentral:misc_RNA from 1 species
UUAAGUUCAGCGGGUAUUCCUACCUGAUCCGAGGUCAACCUUCAGAAGUGGGGGGUUUAACGGCGUGGCCAGGCUGCGUUCCGGUGCGAGGUGUGCUACUACGCAGAGGAGGCUACAGCGAGACCGCCACUAGAUUUCGGGGCCGGCGCGCCGGAGAGGGCGGCCGAUCCCCAACACCAAGCCCGGGGGCUUGAGGGUUG